AGUAGAUUUCUCAGCUCCACGAGUCUGGCUAUGAAAUAUUUACUCAUGGGUGGGACAUGCUCUUCUAUUCUGAUUCAUGGUUUCUCUUGGCUAUAUGGUUCAUUUGGGGGGAUCGAGCUUCAAGAAAUUGUGAACGGUCUUAUCAAUACACAAAUGUAUAACUCCCCAGGAAUUUUAAUUGUGCGUAUAUCCAUCACUGUAGGACUUGGGUUUAAGCUUUCCCCAACCCCUUUUCAUCAAUGGACUCCUGACGACGAGGCCCUUUUCCCCUUAGCUUGUGGGUGGUAG
rnacentral:rRNA from 1 species